UCCACGGAAACCACAGUAAAGACUGUUGCUUUCGUUUUCUCCUGGCCCCCUCUGCCUCCCGCCCAGCCUGGGGCUUCCUCCUGUGUCCCGUGGUGCGGUGGGCCAUGUCUCCUGUUUCUAGAGAAUCUGAUCUAGUUUGAGGCAUUUAGAAGGAUAAGACAUCAGUUUGGAAAGAGCCCCUAUUAGAACAACAUCAAUUCUGUUAAAAUUGAAGCAAGAACAAACAUCAAAUUGAUGAUGAGUCUUAGGUGGAAGAAUGGUGAAAUCACUGAUGUUUCAUGAAAAAUUUAUGGGGGCAGUAUCCUCAAAUAAAUCAGUUUACAAAUAUAUAACUAAUAUAAGAAGGGACAAGAUGAUGUUGAAGAUAAAGCCUGGAACAGUAGAUGAUCCACAUCAAUUUGUGAGGGAAAAAUUCAUCUUGUUUGUGUCCUGAUUGCAGAGGAUUGAUGAUUACUAGUACAAACAAUAGCCAAGACCAUUUACAUCUCAAUUGGCCCAAUGUGCACAAUUCUGACUGAAAUUAAAGUUGAGCAAACUUUCCACUAGAUGAGUGCCAAAACCGUUGUUCCCACAUCAGCUGCAGACAAGAGCAAAAUGUUCAAUGGGAAUUUAAAACCAGCGGGAUCAAGGUCCUGAAGCAUUUUUUUCAAAGAAUUUUAACAGGAGACGAAACGUGGCUUUACCAGUACAAUCCUGAAAACAAAGCACAAUCAAAACAAUGGCUACUAAGGAUGGAAGUGGUCUAGUCAAAGCAAAGGCAGACAGGUCAAGAGCAAAGGAUAUGGCAAGAGUUUUUUGGGCAGCUCAAAGACUUUACUUGUUGACUUCCUGGAGAGCCAAAGAAUGACAACAUCUGCUUGUUAUAAUAGUAUUUUGAGAAAGCCAGAAAAACACCUGGAAAAUCUUCACUAGAGAGUCCUUCUCCACUACACCAAUGCUCCUGCUCAUUUCUCUUAUAAAACUAGGACAAUUUUGUGAGAGUUUCAAUGGGAUAUCAUUAGGCAUCCACUUUAGAGUUCUGAUUUGGUUCUUCUGACUUUUUUCUUUCUUAAUCAAAAAAUCUUUAAAGGGCAUCCAUUUUUCCUCAGUUAAUAAUGUCAAAAAGACUGCAUAGACAUGGUUAAAUUCCCAAGACCUUCAGCUCUUUUUUUUUUUUUUUUUUUUUUGAGACGGAGUCUUGCUCUGUCACCCAGGCUGGAGUGCAGUGGCACGAUCUCGGCUCACUGCAAGCUCCGCCUCCCGAGUUCACGCCAUUCUCCUGGCUCAGCCUCCCGAGUAGCUGGGACUACAGGUGCCCGCCAACACGCCCGGCUACUUUUUUGUAUUUUUAGUAGAGACGGGGUUUCACCGUGUUAGCCAGGAUGGCCUCGAUCUCCUGACCUCGUGAUCCGCCUGCCUUGGCCUCCCAAAGUGCUGGGAUUACAGGCUUGAGCCACCGUGCCCGGCUGACCUUCAGUUCUUUAGGGAUGGACUAAAUUGCUGGUAUCAUCACUCUCAAAAGUGUCUUGAAUUUGAUGGAGUUUAUGUUGAGAAAUAAAGUUUGUUAUUUUAAAAAUCUUUUAAUUACCAUUUUUCUGUGGACUUUUUGAAGUCCUUUUGUAUUUAAAAUAUAACUCAAUCCCAACCUAAGAAAAAUGAAAACAUAUGUCUAUAAAAUAACUUGUACUUGAA